GAGGAGAGGAGGAGGGGGGAGGAAGAGGAGGAGGAGAAGGAGGAGGAAGAGGAGAGGAAGAGGAGGAGGAACACAAAGGCUACGUUCAGACUGCAGGCAAAAGUGACAGGUAAAACAGG